AUUGCUUCCAAACUAACUGCUAAAAUCAUUGUUCAUGCAUUAAAUUACUGGAAAAGGGCAAGAUUCAGCCCUUUGAAAGGUUCCUUGAGAAGGUGAAGUGCUGUCCAGGAACAUUUGUAUUGCUGCCUCUCACUGGUCACAGAAAGGGCUUUGUGAAUAACUGGGACUUUUGCCUGCACAGCAGCCAACCAAGCUGCACAACCACACUGAGGAGCAUAACAAAGUUCAGGUUACCAUCUGCACCAAGAGCAAGGCAUCUGUAAUGAUGCAGGUGAACCCAGUAAUUUGUGUUAAAAGUCAAGAACAGCCUGGAUUUCACUAACGAGCACCUAGAUAACAAGUCUGGC